rnacentral:lncRNA from 1 species
CUUCUCUAACUGGGGAGCAGACAUGGAGAAAUCACCCCAAGACGUUGGAAAGGGUCUGAGGUUCAAGCAGUAUUCCCUCUCCACUACUCACACACCUGUCCCAUUGAAAUCUGGGCCCUUCUGUUGAAGACUGUCCAGAGCACACUCUGGUAGCAGGGGGGAGUUGUGAGUGAGCCGUUGUAGCGGAAGAAUUGCUCCAGCUGUUGGGGGAACAGCUCUCUCACGCUGAAGGGAGGCACAGAGGUCUUCUGAUCUGGGGAGGACGGAGCGAGGGUCAGGCUUCCUGGACAGGAUUCCUCUGAGCAGAAUUCACUGCUUUCUCCCCGCCCUCUCCCAAGCCUCUCAGGUCAGGGCUUGAACGUUUCCUUGCAGUUGAAUUCUUACUGUAGGUUUUUAGGGCUCACCUUUGUAUCUUAUUUCAUGUAGACGACUCAGAAUGUGAUCAUAAGCUGGAUUCUCAGUCUCGCCCACCUGCAAAGGCAAUGUGCCAAUAGACACACACGUUUGGAGUGAGUGCUGGGGUACACUUCCGAGAGGCCUGAGGAUUAGAAUAAAGGAUCAGAGAGAGACCUGAGAGGGGCUGGGGGAUGCUGACCUCAAUGAGGAUGCCUAGGACAGCCAGGCCCUGUGGCUUCUGAGCUGCCUCACUCAAGCUGCUGUAGGACUGGGAGUCAUAGUGAACCACGUGGAGCUGCAGGGGGACAGAAGGAAACAAAGUUACCUGAUGUUUCUUAAUCCCUCUAAGGCUUUGAUUUCAGUCACCCCCGCAAUUACCCAACCUGAGUGUCUACCCCCAAAGCUUUGUCUUAGCUCUUCAAUAGGGUUUUUCAAGGGCCCAGGUCCAUCCUCUGAGCUCCACUGGACCGAACCCUGCAUCAUCUGUGUCCUAGCCCGAGUUCCCCGGUACCUCCGCAGCCGUGGCUUCACUGUUGAUCUGGUGCUCUGAUCCCUCGAGGGAUCCUCUCUGACCCCAGUGCAGGUGGAGCUGGGCUGCUGUGUAUUUUCGGGGCAGUCCACCCAGGUGCAGGGUUGGGGGCAGGGAAAGCUGCACUGUGGGGAAAGAGCAGGCUAGGAUGGACAGUUCCCGCCCCAGCUUGCCACCACUUGGGACAUAGGGUUCUCCUCUUCCUUCUUCCCCCCAGAAUUGCCUGGUUCUCUCUAGCAAAGGAACCUCUCUGCUAAUGAUUAAGUCAGUGCUAUGACACUGCUUGUACACUGAGCUUGAUCAUGGACGUCUGAUCCCACCUUAGCUGCAGGAGCCUGAACCUCAAUGUUUUAUGGUUUUUGUUUUUUUGGUUUUUUUUGAGACAGGGAUCCUCUGUACACAGACUGUAGCCCUGGCUGUCCUGGAAUUCACUCUGUAGACCAGGUAGCCUCAAACUCAGAAAUCCACCUGCCUCUGCCUUUUGAGUGUGCCACCUUGGCCCAGCUCUGAACCUCAUUCUAACGUCCACAUUCAUUAAUGUGUUAUAUAUUAUAAAUUGUUCAGACGUUAU